UCAAGAAACUUCCACAAUGGGCGAAAGCCUGAUGGAGCGACGUCGCGUGAUGGACGAAGUGCUUCGGCACGUAAACAUCUUUUAUGUGGGAUGAAAUUAUUGACAGUACCACAUGAAUAAGGGGCUCCUAACUCUGUGCCAGCAGGAGCGGUAAUACAGAGGCCCCAAGCGUUAUCCGGAAUCACUGGGCGUAAAGGGUGUCGAGGCGGUUGUAUUAGUCGUUCGUAAAAUCUACGAGCUUAAACUUGUAGGCGGCGAACGAAACGGUACGACUUGAGGUUUGGAGAGGUGCGUGGAACUCACGGUGUAGGGGUGAAAUCCGUUGAUAUCGUGGGGAACACCAAAGGCGAAGGCAGCGCACUGGCCAAAAUCUGACGCUCACACACGAAAGCUAGGGUAGCGAAGAGGAUUAGAUACCCCGGUAGUCCCUGAGCGGGCUGGCAAGGCGCAU
rnacentral:rRNA from 1 species